GAACUUUUGGAUGUGGGUUCUUUCCUGGCAUAGGAUUUUUAGUUGCUAACUAAUUUUUGGCUUCUGGGUUCUUUCCAGCAUAAGAUUUUGAGCAUUACCCUACUGAGUUUUAAUUUUUCCAGUUCCCUAGUAACUCUUGGUGUGAUUUCUUCCCAUUUCAAUCACUGACAUUUCUUUUGGGUAUCUAAGUUUUGGGUCUUCUUGGUUUUUAGCUUUAUCUUUCCCCAUCUGGAUAUUACACUACUCGGUACUUGUGGUUCUAAUUUUAGCUUCAAUUUCUCCUCAUCUUUGAUUCUCUAUUCAUAUAUUUUUUUUUGGCAAUCAAAUUUUGGCUAAGCUUUCAUUGGAGAAAUGGGUGUUUGGUCUCUGUUUAGUUUUCCGGUUAGCGCAGUCAUGGGGGGUUUGGUCGGCCGUGUAUCAGCGAAACCCACUUCUUUCUGUCCCACUCUUGCUUAGGAAUUUCUCUGUUGCUAUUGUGCGCCACCCUAUUAGUUACUGUAUCAGCUAACGUGCACCGAAUAUGGGUGGUUGUUCCUUCGGAGCGCAUGUUUUUUUUCUUGGAUUCUUGGAAGGGAUGUUCUUGCUCAUUUGCCCUCUUUGUUUGGCCUAUUUAUAUAUCUAAUCUCUCCGGGCACAACUUUUCUUUGCUAUUGCGCCCUUCGCUUUUUGGUGCACUCGCAUUGGUGAUCCUCAUGGGGUUUCUUCUUUUGUCCCGUUUCUUUCAAGAAAUUACCUCUCUUUUCAGUGUUUUGAAAAGCAUCACAAAAAAAAAGUUGAGCAAUUCUAAAGCUUUAAUUUCGGUGUUGAUUGCCGCUAAUUGGUAAUUACCGGCAUAAUUCCUUUCUUUUCAAGCG
rnacentral:misc_RNA from 1 species